UUCUGGAGAGUUUAUGUGGGGAGGAAGAGGGGUAGGGCUGAACAUUGUUUCCUAAUGUGUGUGCAGGGCUGGAAGGGAGGAAUUUGACAGAAGUCCCACUGGAAGAUAUUGUAGUAUCUGGAGGCAUUCAUCAAACACAUCCUUCUCCCCACUGCUUCCUUUUAGGAGGGAAUUAUGGACUGUGAAUCUCAAUUUGAGAGAGAUACAAUGGGUAUUUAUUCUUUUGGAUGAGAAAAGUUGCUAUUAGCCCCCUGACAUGAAAAUACUUCUGGUGAUACAAGGCUUGUGUCCUUGCUUCUGCACUUUUGUUUGAUCAGGUGGAAGAAUGCUACCAGAGGUACACACAUGCAGGGAAGGGCAGCUAACAUCACACAGAUUGCCUGUACCCAAGGUGGAUAAACUUUCUCCUCUUUCAUGGGGAAGCUUUCCUAUGGAGACAAAAAAAAACAAGAGAAAGAAAUAAUUGGUAUGGAAAGUCUGAGAGACAUUUCACUUCAACACUUCUCAGCAUUACACACACCUAUAACAAAUAUGGAGCACAUAGUAUGUGGGACACCUCAAGAAGAGACACAUUUUAGUAUGUGUAACCUCUUUGCAUACUGAAGCCUUCUCAUUCUGAGCACUACAUCACUUCAGGCUGCAUUCCAUAGACAUACACAACUCCAAUUACUUCAAAGAAAGCAAUGACUAGAAGAGGCACUGAGGCUGCAUAUCUGUCAAAAAUGUCAAUCCAGUAACUCCCUGAACCCAGUGUAAAACACAGAGCAAUGAGGAAGCUAAUUAGACAUAUUAUACCUGAAGAAAAAAAGAUAUCUUUGUUACUGGAUUAUUGAACUUGGAUUACCUGUUGGAAGCAGUUAUGGUACCUGAUCAAGAAAUUCUUGAAGGUCACAGCUCUUCAGUUUGAGUCCAGCAAUUUUUUCUGGAUGUGAUGAAUUCAGGAAACUAAUCCAGGAGUCCUGCAGGACAACUUGUGUGUCUUCUGUAUUUAUCUGAUCCUGGUAUAUGACUGGGAACAUUUGCAGGAGUGAGAGAUUUUACAAGUAUCUUCAGAAAAAAAAAUGUGCUGAUGCCAGAAACAUGCAGAUGAAGAUAUACAACCAGAAUGUCAAUGAAUGAACAUGGGAGUAAUGAGGAAAGGAAGUAUAAUUGCUACCCCAUGGGUGGUAAGAUUUUUGGAUACUGGAACACAUAAAACACAGACAGAAAUUUUCUUAAAACAGAAUUAAAAAUUACUGGGGUCCCUGUGAUGUGUAAAAACUGAUGCUUUUCUCAGAAGGCCAACAAGUAACACUGUGCUUAAAGGCAGCAUUUCAUUAGGGCAGUGCUUUUGCUCUCCUUAAUACCAGAAACAGUAUGGACAGUCUAGGUACCUUGAAAGAAGCUUUAAGUGUCCAUGCAUAGUAAUACAUCAUAACUGCAAAACAGAGGAAAAAGUUACAAAUUGCCUCUGUGGAUAGAGGAUUUGGUGCCUCUGCUGCCUUUUUCUUUUUCUUGGCUAUUCUCACUGCUUGUUAAAUAGCUGCAGAGCUCUGGGCACAGGCAUCAGUUGCCCAACCAAGUUCUUGGAAUUGUUCAUUGCCAAACCUCCAAAUAUUUACAGUCUCUGAAGCUCUUUUAAAUGUGAAAGAGACUGGACAAGGAGACAUUUGUUUUCCUGAUCUUGCACAGAUGUCCACUGAAGGUGUGCCGUGCAGACUGUUGCUGAUGCUUGAUGGGAUCUCUUUUCUGCUGCCUCUCAUUAUUUAUGUUUUCAAAAACCUUUCCAAAAGUCUGUUCCAGCUCCUGUGUUUCUUCAACUUUGACAACUUCUGCUUUCCCUUCAAGUGUCUGUGAACAUCAUUUCAGUCUUUUUUAUUUUCUUGGCAGUUUCAUUUUCCAGGUAGCCAAGAGUUUAGAAAGAGUGAGUGAAUUGUCAGACUUUUCCACGUCUGAAAGUCAAUGAAAAGAAGUAUUCAUUAUUUGUUCUAAAAUUUAGGGUGUGGAAGUAAGUCAGAUGGCAAAAAGCCUAUGUAUUUCUGCAUAGCCUGCCACAUUUAAAAUCCAUAUGCAUGCAGUUGUUAUUUGUGAUAUUUUUUAAUGAGAAGUGAAAUACAAACUUAGAAAGUGAAUAAACUUAAACAGUGGUAGUUUGGAAAAAAAAAUUCAUUUGGGUGAUUAUGAUCCUGAAACUGAGUAAGAUACAACUUUUAG